AACGGACGCUGGCGGCAGGCUUAACACAUGCAAGUCGAACGGAUCCUUCGGGAUUAGUGGCAGACGGGUGAGUAACGCGUGGGAACGUACCCUUUGCUACGGAAUAACUCAGGGAAACUUGAGCUAAUACCGUAUGUGCCCUACGGGGGAAAGAUUUAUCGGCAAAGGAUCGGCCCGCGUUGGAUUAGCUAGUUGGUGGGGUAAUGGCCUACCAAGGCGACGAUCCAUAGCUGGUCUGAGAGGAUGAUCAGCCACACUGGGACUGAGACACGGCCCAGACUCCUACGGGAGGCAGCAGUGGGGAAUAUUGGACAAUGGGCGCAAGCCUGAUCCAGCCAUGCCGCGUGAGUGAUGAAGGUCUUAGGACUGUAAAGCUCUUUCACCGGUGAAGAUAAUGACGGUAGCCGGAGAAGAAGCCCCGGCUAACUUCGUG
rnacentral:rRNA from 1 species